rnacentral:misc_RNA from 1 species
GAUGAAGAACGCAGCGAAAUGCGAUACGUAAUGUGAAUUGCAGAAUUCAGUGAAUCAUCGAAUCUUUGAACGCACCUUGCGCCCUUUGGCUAUUCCGAAGGGCAUGCCUGUUUGAGUAUCAUGAACACCUCAACUCUCAUGGUUUGCCAUGAUGAGCUUGGACUCUGGGGGUCUUGCUGGCCUAUGGUCAGCUCCUCUCAAAUAAAUCAGCUUGCCAGUGUUUGGUGGCAUCACAGGUGUGAUAACUAUCUACGCUUGUGGUUUUCCAUCAGGUAACCUUCAGUGAUGGAGGUUCGCUGGAGCUCAUAAAUGUCCCUCCUCAGCGAGGACAGCUUUUUGAACAUUUGAUCUCAAAUCAGGUAGGACUACCCGCUGAACUUAAGCAUAUCAAUAAGCGGAGGA